CCUACGGGAGGCAGCAGUAGGGAAUCUUCCACAAUGGACGAAAGUCUGAUGGAGCAACGCCGCGUGAGUGAAGAAGGGUUUCGGCUCGUAAAGCUCUGUUGGGAGUGAAGAAAGAUAGAGGUAGUAACUGGCCUUUAUUUGACGGUAAUUACUUAGAAAGUCACGGCUAACUACGUGCCAGCAGCCGCGGUAAUACGGAGGUGGCAAGCGUUGUCCGGAUUUAUUGGGCGUAAAGCGAGUGCCGGCGGUUCAAUAAGUGUUAUGUGAAAAC
rnacentral:rRNA from 1 species